UGUUGCUGUAACUGAAUGCACGAGACUGGGUUAUUUACAAAGAAAAGACAUUUAUUUCUCACAGUUUUGGAGGUUAGGAAGUCCAAGGUUGAGGGGUUGCAUCUGAUGGGGGCCUUCUUGCCGGUGGGGACUCUCUGCAGGGUCCUAAGGCAGCUCAGGGUGUCACAUGGCAAGAGGACAAGAAAAUGCCAAACUGGCUUUUAUAACAGACACACUCCUGUGAUAACCCAUUAGUCUACUAAUCCGUGAAUGGGUUAUUCCUUUCAAGACAGAAGAGCAAAUAUAACCCAGCCACCUCUGAAAUACCCCAUCUUCAACAUGAGUCUUGGAGGACGCAGACAUUCACACCAUAGCAUGAGGCUGUAGAUGUCUUCAAAACAACCUCUGCCUUUGUCUUCUAGAAGUGGAGUUUCCAGACUCUACUUGUUCAAGGAUGCUGUGUCCUUGACUUAGCUCAUUAUCACCUUUUGGUCACCUUUUUCAUCCUGGUGCUUUAUGGACUCUAAUUGAUCGGUUUCCAACCCACCACCAUAUCUGACUGUGCUCUAGGUGUUUCCUGUGAUCUCUGGGAUCCUGAUCCGCACCACUCAACUUUGGCCUCCUAAACUUCAUCCUUGACCCCACCCCAGGUAGGAAGGAUGUGUGGAUAUUUCUUUUAUCUUUCUGCAACGAUGACCUUUUGGAGAAAAAGAAAGGAAGCAGGACCUCUUGACCAGAAUUUAUCCAGCACUCCAGCACGGCUUGCACGUUAUCUGGAGUAAAGAGACCUUCUGGGAUUUCAUCAGCCUCCUGUCCAUCAAGAGUUCUUCCAGUUUUUGACUGACUGAAUUUUC
rnacentral:lncRNA from 1 species